GCCUGGGUGGCUCAGUUGAUAAAGCAUCUGACUUCAGCUCAGGUCAUGAUCUCACAGUUUGUGAGUUCAAGCCCCACGUUGGGCU
rnacentral:tRNA from 1 species